GACGAACGCUGGCGGCGUGCUUAACACAUGCAAGUCGAACGGACAGACCCUGCUUUUGUGCGUUGCUCGUUUGGCGCACACGUGUGUAACACAUGUGUAUCCUCCCCUUGUCUUUGGGAUAACUUCUGGAAACUCGGGCUCUUACCCCGUAUGAUCUCCUGCUGCAUGUGGUUGGUUGGUAAGUUUCGGCGGUUGUGGCUGGACUCGCGGCUUCUCCGCUUGUUUGUGGGGUAGUGGCUUACCAAGGCUUUGACGGGUAGCCUGCCUGAGAGGGUGAACGGCGACAUGGCGACUGAGAUACGGCGCAGAAGCCUACGGGAGGCAGCAGUGGGGAAUAUUGCACAAUGGGCGGAAGCCUGAUGUAGCAACGCCGCGUGCGGGAUGACGGCUUACGGGUUGUAAACAGAUUUGGACGGUGACGAAGAGUGAGUGACGGUAAUGGGUAAAGAAGCACCGGCUAACUACGUG
rnacentral:rRNA from 1 species